GUCAAACGUUCAAACCACACACUUCUCUCAACGUGACCCUCUUCCAAAUCCCCAAUUAAAACCGUGCUCUUGCUUCUCUACACGUCUCCUCACAUUUACCAAACUUGUGAUCAGACGUCUUAGAUUGCCAAUAAAAAAGGUACUUGAUCGACAGGGAAAGAGGCGGUAGACCACACACCGUCUCACUUGGCCUCUGUUGUCCCAUAUUACAAUUUUAUCAUUCCAAAGGUGUUGAAUGGACCUGCGUAACCCGUGGGGGUGUGGAACCUGGUGUGACCACACAGCUUUCUGAUCAAGUGGGCCUCGAAAUGGUCGUGGCAGAUAACCAAUUAAUAAUGACCAGAUGCUUGUCUUAUAAUAUCCUCGUCCUUAUCCAUCCACCCUGGCGACUCUGGAAUUGCUCCCCGUACACACAGGCUCUACUUCAUCCGUGAGUGUGCUGGGGAUGGAAUUGGGACAUGGCACCAACAUGUCGGCUGCGCAGCGAUGGGAAAUUGAGGUAAUUUGAUCGGGUGGGGAUGCCCCAACCGGCGUUCCACGGAUUAUUCCUGUGUGCGGCUCUUGGUUUUGUGCGCAUGGAGUGGCUGUCCUAAACGGAAAGGGGAAACCUGAUCGGAUGCAUCGGAUUCCUUGCUGUGUGCGUGCGUGGAUGGAUGUACAUGCUAAGCGGAAUGGCUCACCAUCCAUCGCUCGCUGAGACCUACGCCUCCUACCCCACCCACCAUCGAUUGAUUCCAAAGAAACCAGACGUCAUUACCCUCGGUCGAGAAUCGGAGCCUCCGGAUCUCAGGUGCUGAUUACAAACAAAAACAAUCCGUCCCCAUGAAAUUUCAUGAUCCAAAGGGUAGCCCGACCGACGUCGAUGUCAACUCACAGUCAUUCAAAGGGUGGGUCGUUUGGUCAAUAUAAAUCCAACGAGGAGUUCCCUAUUCAUACUCAUCGGCCAAGCGAGAAAGGAUCCACGGUGGAAUACGCAAUUUCCUCGACAGAGGGCGAUAUGAGGCUACUGGAAUUCCCCUGCGGCCGGCGAGCCAUACGGCCGGAUAAGGAGGCGCCGGCGGCCAAGGAGUGCGAGGGCAAGCGCCGGAGGAGGGCGUCGGCGUGGCGGCCGUCGUUGGUCGUGAUCUCAGAGGACGCGGCGCUGAUGGGGGAUAAGGCGGCGCCCAAGGGUGGCGGCGGACCGCGGAAGGCGAAAGCCCAAGCGACGCGUAGGUUUGUUCCGCGCCCCUUCAAGGACGACCAUGGGCAGUAUGCGGUGGCUGCGGUUGUUCCCGCUUUUGCUCCGGCGGCCUUCAUUUUCUAAAGCUUCGCCCGCCAUGUACAUACAUAAUUAAUAACGGCGGCCUUCUUCAAGAUCUGCCUUGUACAUAUCAUCAUCUUUCUUUUUUUCAGUUAGAAAUCUCCCACAGUUGAUAAAACAGAUUUAUGAAACAUCAGAGAUCGAGGUGAUUGCCGCGCAA